GAGUCGAUCCGCCGUCUACAAUGGGGCUCUUCUCUCCACUUCCCACCACAGCCUCUGGGCAGCGCCCAGGCUUCCCUCCAGAAGGCCCCCUGGGCAGCGCCUAUGAAACAAGCCAGCACCCCGAGCAGGGACCUCCAGCUCUAGCCUGACGUCUAACCCAUCAGGAGGGCACUUUCCCCAGACAACAGACGAGGAAGCUGAAACCCCGAGAUGACGAUGGGCUCUUGAGGACCGAAGCCCGGGACCCCGUCCGACGCCAGCACUGGCCUGUGAUCGCGGGUACCGUCAGGGUCCAAACCGACAGCGGAUGAGGCUGGACUGUCCACUGCUCUUGGCUCUGGUGGAGCAGCGGGCGGCAGAGCUGGCGGAGAAGACACUACGAGGACAGGCGGCGCCCUGCAGAGAGGGGCCGGGGUCUCAGCCCUGCCCGCAGCCCGGCCCACCCUCCAUCACUCGGGCUCGCCUCCCAUCUGUGAGCUGUGAUGGGGGAGCGGCCAGGAACCAGAUGCCCGCUUUCGUCUUAGGACCCAUGGGCAGGGACAGCCAAGCCCUCUCUCACAGGAUCCCAUGUUCUCUGUGCUAAGAACCUGAGCUUGAAUGACAAGCAGGGUGCUUGUCCCCAGGGACCAGGAGAACCGAGUCGUGUAUACAGGUUGGAGGGGGGCGAUCACAGGCCUUCCUGUGCCCCCCAGUGAGGCCCCCACAGAACAGGGUCCCCUCACGCCUGCAGCCACCCUUCUCCCCGACACGCCUGCCACCGAGGGCACUGUGUCCUGGGAUGCACACGUGUAGGGGCUCGAGCCUGCAGAAGGAGCUGGGGCAGCCUCUCAAGUGAGUCUGUCCAGGUGAGGAGCUGCCUGAGGAGCCCUUCACUCAGCAGAAUCUCCUACCAGAGCUCUGCUCCCUGCAGCGACCGUGGUGGCUGCUGCCAGCCACGCCCUGGACAGGCGAGGUCAAGUGCCCCGCACAAGGGAGGGGCUCGCAGCCCCGUGCCCUGUGACCUCCCAUGAUCACCCCGCGACCUCCCGUGCAUUGCUGCCGGGUCACGGAGGGAAUGUCGCCCCGGAAGGGUCACUGCAGACAUCCGGCCCCACUUCUGCAUCCUCCAGAGACAGAAGAGCCCGGCAGAGCUCUGAGGAUUUGCCCCAGGGCACAGGCUGGUCAGCCUGAAGGUGUGAACAAAAACCCAACUUUUGGUGCCAUCCUGCCAUCCAGAGGCAUGUCUCAAUGGGGAUAUAAAGGCCAAAGUGAAAAUACGUGGAGAACAUUCUCUGCCAACAAGUGGCCUGUAUUUGGAAUUCACACAAAGGCAGGCAAGUCACUCAGAUAAACCAAGCCUUCCCUUGUGGGAAGAAUCCAGUGGUUAAGAAUCCACCUUGCAAUGCUGUGGACAUGGGCUCAAUCCCUGGCUGGGGAACUGGGAUUUCACUUGCUGCAGAGCAACUGAGCCCACGGGCCACAACUGGAGUGUCUGUGCGCCACAAGGAAAGGUCCCACAUGACGCAAUGGCGAUUCCUGAG
ensembl:lncRNA